CAAGAGAGAGGAGGGAGGGGGGAAGAGAGGGAGAGAGAGACAGAGACAGAGCAAGCGAGUAAGAGAGAGAGAAGAGGAGAGAGAGAGAGAGAAAGAAAAACAGAAAGAAACAGAGAGAAAGGCACAGACAAAGCCCUCCUACCAGACAGCAGACAGCUCUCCUUCCCCUAUCCAGCAAAAUGCAACUCGUCUAAUGCAGCAACAGGUUCAGUAUUGCCAGACUAACAGAGUGAAAAAGGAGAAGACGUAUUUGGUUUCUACCAGCAGGAAUCAAAAGGAAUAUAAAGGACCAUGAAGGCUCUUUUCUAAAAAACAACCUGAGAGCUAAAUUUAAAAGGAAAACAAAUCUUUUGGCUUAAGUGAAAAAUGAGACCGGGCACAGUGGCUCACACCGUAAUCCCAGCACUUUGGGAGGCCAAGGCAGGCGGAUCACAAGGUCAGGAGUUCGAGACCAGACUGGCCAACAUGGGGAAACCCCCUCUACUAAAAAUACAAAAAUUAGCUGGGGGUGGUGGUGCAUGCCUCUAGUCCCAGCUGCUCAGGAGGCUCAGGCAGGAGAAUCGCUUGAACCCAGGAGGUGGAGGCUGCAGUGAGCCAAGAUCACACCACUGCACUCUAGCCUCGGCAACAGAGCAAGACUCCAUCUCAAAUUAAAAAAAAAAAAAAGGUGAAGAAGAAGAAGAAGAAUGUAUAACAUCUCAAAACUUUUCCCAUAUCUGUACAUUUU
rnacentral:lncRNA from 1 species